AUUGAACGCUGGCGGCAGGCCUAACACAUGCAAGUCGAGCGAGCGGCGGACGGGUGAGUAAUGUAUGGGGACUGCCCGAUAGAGGGGGAUAACUAAUGGAAACGGUGGCUAAUACCGCAUACUAUCGGAUAACCCAUAUGGGAUUAGCUAGUCUGUGGGGUAAAGGCGCACCUAGGAGACGAUCUCUAGCUGGUCUGAGAGGAUGAUUAGCCAGACUGGGACAGAGACACGGCCCAGACGCCUACGGAGGCGGCAGUGGGGAAUAUUGCACAAUGGGCGCAAGCCGGAUGCAGCCAUGCCGCGUGUAUGAAGAAGGCCUUAGGGUUGUAAAGUACUUUCAGCGGGGAGGCGUUACCCGAAGAAGAAGCACCGGCUAACUCCGUGCCAGCAGCCGCGGUAAUAC
rnacentral:rRNA from 1 species